GCCUCUGUGGCGCCAUCGGCUUGCGCGUUCGGCUGUUCCCCGGAAGGAUGGUGGUUCGAGCCCACCCAGGGGCG
rnacentral:tRNA from 1 species